UCUAUCUAUAUUGUGAACAAA
ensembl:piRNA 21ur-4906 ncRNA